CCAGGGAACGCCCCGAGCCACAGCCUCGCUGCCACGCACAGCUCCGAAAUUAAAAAAAAAAAAAAAAAAAAAAAAAUCCUGAAGUGCUUUUUAUUACCGCAAAUUAUCAUAUUUGGGAUUAUCAUAUUCAUCAGCUUGGCUGGCCGGGGCGUUCUGCUGUUCCUGCUGGGAUUGGUGCUGGCAGCGCUGCUCAGCUUUUCCCUGCCUCUUGUCUCAGCCUGGAAACUGGGAUUGGAAAUUAUUUUGGCCGGGGAUAAACUGGCCUAAAUAAUUUGCUUGUACAGCGCUGAGCCACAGUGGCCUCUGGGUCUCAGCUGAGCCUUCUGGAGGCUUCUAAAAAUAAGGAGUUCUAAGCUAUUAUCUUUUAAAAUACUUGGGAAAAAGAGGGGGCAAGACGAGGAUUUUUUAACAGCUGUUUUGGCCUCAAACUGCCAAGUUUUAUUUUAUUUUUUAAAUGUGUUUUCUUGAUCAGUUCUGUCCAUAGCCUUUCAUUAAAAAGGAGCUCAUAAAUUUAGGACAGGUGUUUUGUACUUCUAUAGAAAAAAUCAUUUGAAAACCACCAGUAAUUUCUAAAAUACAAGCUACCACUAAUAAAAUGAAAACUGAUCCUAAAGCCGUAUUUUUAUGCAUGAGUUGAUUACUCUUCCCAGCCUGGAAUUAUUUUGCAAACAAAUCUCAAUUAGAGAAUGAACUUUUCUAUUUUUUUUUUUCUAAGAAAAAAAUAGGCAUUGUCAUUUUUGAAGAUAUUUUGGAUUUUUUUCUUGCCUAGCUAAUUCUCAUUAAUCUCAUUAGUCCAAACACAGAUUUCUUUCCCCUUGCCAGAAUAGGAGAACUUUGUUUUGAGUGAUUCCUUUGUAGAACUCGUCAAGAAGAAAACAAAACAUUAAACACUGCAAACCAAAAGGAAUGAAAACUUUCAGCUUUGCUCAUGUACCUGCCAAUUCCUUUCCUCUUAAAAACCUCACAUAAAUCAGCUCUUUCCCAGCCUAUUUUACUCCUUUAAAGAGGGAAAAAAAAGCUGAGGAUUCUCGUUCAUCCUGCAGGAAGGGCCAGCACCUGAGGAAUGGCAAGGACUGGGCUGAAGCCUCUAAGCCAGCAUCUAACACUGAUCCUUCCCAAAAAUCCCUGAGAAAAUAAGAAUAAAUUAUCAUGGAAUGGUUUGGGCUGGAAGGGACUUUAAAUCUCAUCUUGUCUUCCACUGGCCCGGGUUGCAGCCUUAAAAUGUGGGUGGCCCAAAUUUGGGGUGCCCAGUUUGGGGUGUUUCCACCCAGAAGGGACAGAAGGUGCCAGGCUGGGGCUGGCUCCUCCUGCCCAUCCCAGCCAUGCCCAGGCUGGGCUCACCUGGCAGAGCUGAUGCCAGCGGGCACAGGGACAGGGAUGCCCCUGGCCAGGGCUGCUGCUGGCCCAGCGAUGCCAAACGAGCUGCUCAGGAAUGUUUUGAGUUUUUUUUCCUUGUUUGUUCAUUUCCCGGUGGGAAAAUGUUGCUUUGUAACACGACAAGGUUGGCAGCACUUUUAAUGGGAGGUUUUUGUGUACCCAGGGUGCAGCUCCAGGCAGCUGGGAGGUGACAGCAGGAGGGACAGCCAGGACUGUGGGACAGCCAGAAACUCUGCUCUGGCACCAGCUGGGCUCCAGGAGACUGGCUCUGUGGGACUUCUCUGGGGGAAGCAAACAGGGCUGGGCAGGGGAAUUUCUGCCCAGCAGCCCACAGGUACCAACUGCUCUGCACUGAGUCCUUCUUAUUUAAAUAAAAACAAAAAAAAAGCCAAAUCCUGGAUCUGCAUUUCAGUGUAAAGAGCGAUUGAGUCCUAAAGUGUAAACUGAAAUACUUUCUGAUCAGUCAGAAAUACUGCUGCUCCCCAGCACAUCCAAACCUUUAUCCCCACUGAGAGCUGCCUGCCAGCCUGGACACGAUCCUGCCUCUCUCAGGGCUGGGUCCUGGCAUUCACCAUGACUUCAGUUUUUACAUAAAACAUCCCAUCAGGCUCAGCUGGACAUUCAAAUGAAGCCCCUGCUGUUCCCCCUGUACCUGCAGUUGUUCCUCAGGUAAAUCCAAGAUAUUAAAUUUGAUUUCUGCCACAGAAGCUAAAAGAAACCCCAGAGCAUUCACUCCUGGUUUCUGAUUAAACAAAACCAAGUUAUUACAGCUGAAGGCAUUCAUUUUCUGACUAAAUAUUUAAGUUGGUAAUUAAUAUCCAUCCCUUUGGUGGGAAAAGAGCUGUUUGCCAGAGUUUCCCAGACUGGAUGGGACAAAUAAACUUACCAGAGUUUGGAAAACAGAGGCUUAAAUCUGUUUGUUUCCCACUAAACAUUUUGCAACGCUGCUGCCGAGAAGCAACGAGAGGAGCAGGGAGAGGAGCAGGGCAGAGGAGCAGGCAGAGGAGCAGCAAGAGGAGCAGGCAGAGGAGCAGGCAGAGGAGCAGGGCAGAGGAGCAGGGCAGAGGAGCAGGCAGAGGAGCAGCAAGAGGAGCAGGCAGAGGAGCAGCCAGAGGAGCAGGGCAGAGGAGCAGGCAGAGGAGCAGGGAGAGGAGCAGGGCAGAGGAGCAGCAAGAGGAGCAGGCAGAGGAGCAGCAAGAGGAGCAGGCAGAGGAGCAGGCAGAGGAGCAGCAAGAGGAGCAGGGCAGAGGAGCAGGCAGAGGAGCAGCAAGAGGAGCAGGCAGAGGAGCAGCCAGAGGAGCAGGCCAGAGGAGCAGGCAGAGGAGCAGCAAGAGGAGCAGCCAGAGGAGCAGGCAGAGGAGCAGGCAGUUGUCCAGGAGGAAAUCAAAGCAGCCGGGAUUGCUGGCACGGCCCCUCUGAGGGGUUUAACCAGAGCCUGGCAUGGCAGGAGGUGCCCAGGGCUCGAUCUUUGGGUGCCCAGGGCUCCCCGCAGGAGCCGCAGCCGUGCCCAGCAGAGCUCAGGUCAUGGGCAGAGCAGAUUUGCAGCGGGGAGAGGAGCUGAGCCAGGCUGGGCAGCUGGAGCCGCAGCCAAGGCAGCAGGGACAUUGCUGCCACUGCCACUGUCACUGUCCCUGCCACCGUCACUGCCACUGUCACCCCCCAAGCCCCCGGGUUAUGCAAGGACGGGCACUGAGUGCCCCCAGCCCCGCUGAGGCCACCCAGGCACCGAGCCCCCCUCCAGCCACAGCCCCUGUGCCCACGGGGAACCCGGGCAAAGCAGAAGUGUGGCUGUAAUUGGGAUUAAUCUAUUUUUAGCAGGCUGUCUGCUGCCCUAUCCACGCUCCAGCUGAGAUGUUUAAUUCUGUCCAGCUCGACUCUUUCUGCAGUGGCACCCAGGACUGAUUUUUCUUUCCUUAUAAACCUUGGAUUUGUUUGUUUGUUUGUUUUCCAAUUCAUUGUUAUUCCUUGUUUUGGUUUUUUUUUUAAAUCUUUUUUUCCCCCCUACGUACAAUAACUGGAAAAUCCAGCACUGAAGCAAUACAAAGAUUGCUGUAUUAAAAAAGUUAUACAACGUUUACUAUCAUUAUUAUUCAUUUUACUAUGGAGUUUGGAAACCUCGUCAUAGAUCAGGAAUGUGUUGUACCCUGCGCUGCACAAACAGCACAGAAGGAAAAUUGCCUCUUCCAAGCUAUAUUGGAUAAAAACACGCAGUGAUACCAAAAGGAUUUUGGUUAAACAGCAGCAGGACAAGAUGUUAAAGCCAUCCCUGAGCACCUCACCAUUUACAGACCCCGCAUUUAAAUACCUGCCGUGCGGAUCUUUAACCUUUUAUGAGGUAUUUGCAAAGGGAACUUCGAGAUUAGCACUUGGGAAAACACCCUGGAACACAGUUGGACCGACAUCAAGAGGCUCCUCCGGCCCGGGAAUGUUUGCCUUUCCCAAAUCCUCGUGCCCGUGCCGGAGCGUGACCCGCUGCCCAGGGAGCGGUGCCCUCAGCAGGGCACGGGGCAGCCAGGGCGGCUCCUCGGGCUUUUCCUGCCCACUGGGAAGAUGCUCCGCAGGGAAACCAGGCUGCCGUGCCGAGAGCUGCCCUGCAAAGCCAGCCCGGGAACGGUUCUGCGGGGUUUGGACCUUGCUGGGUUCGGACCUUGCUGGGUUCGGAUCUUGCUGGGUUCGGACCCUGCUCAGUUUGGACUCUGCCCGGUUCGGACCUGUCCGGUUCGGACCUGCCCGGUUCAGACCCUGCCCGGUUCGGACCUGCCCGGUCCGGACCUGCCCGCCCCAGCUGUGCCCCCCCCGGGCCGGGGUGACUCACGGAGCUGCGGGUGCUGAGCUGGAGCGCGGCUAUUUCCGUGCUCCCCCUGCAAUCCCUGCUCCUCCGGCUGCGCUGUCAGGCACCUCAGCACCCCCGCCGCCUCUAUUCUUAGCAGCUAAUAGCUGAAAUAAUUCCUUUUGUCUCCGCGCUGUUGGCUCCUCGCUUUCGCUGCCCCCACAGCCGCUGCCAGCGCUGGGAGGGCGGCCGGGGGUCCCGGGGGUGGGGGCAGUGUCCCUGUGCCCACCGGGAAUUCUGGUGUGGGCUGAGCAUCCCAAAUCCCCCGGCCCCGAGUCCAACACAGGCCACGGAGCGGUGCUUUGAAGCGGCCGGGAUGUUAAUGCGGUGCCACCUCUUUGAAAAGGAUCCUGGCUCUUCCAGCUGGGUUUCUUAGACUUCACCGGAAAAGUUCCAGGUUUUCAGAGGGAGGGCCAGGUUUUCACCUGCGGGCUCCCAUUUCAGUGCCUGCUCUGUGCCGAGGGCUGGGUUCUCUCCGAGAAUGCAAACGCUCCAUGCAAAUGCGGCUCCCCAAUGCCAGCAGAGCCGUGCCAGCCCAUCCCCGACAGCGCCCGGGAGCCAUCCCGCACCUCUGGCAGCGCCGGCAGAUCCCAGCACCAGCUGUUCCACACAAUUCCCUUGAAGCACCUCCCGAGGGGCACUGUGAGCCCCCCACCCCACUCUUUGUGGGGCUGUCAGCUGGGCACACCCAAACAGACCCACAGAAUCGGCUUUGGGAACUGUUUGAACUGUUUGUUUCAUUGCUCUUUAUGUGCCUGCUGCUCUUCCUCUGCUGCCUGGGACGCCAGGGAGAGCAGCAGAGUGUUCCACAUAGAACGGGUGCCCAGAGCACCCCUGGAUCCUUGGAGAUGUCCAAGGCCAGGUUGGACACUGGGGCUUGGAGCACCCUGGGACAGUGGAAGGUGUCCCUGCCCAUGGCAGGGGGUGGCACUGGCUUUAAGGUCCCUUCUAACCCAAACCAUUCUAUGAUUCUGCUGGGCUGGUAAAGAAAGGACUCACUGGCCCAUUCUGUGGAAUCCACUAAAGAACCUCAUCUGGAAAACAAUAAACCUUUGGAAAAAAAUGAAACCUGGAUAUUUGUUGUGACUCUGUCCCUCACGGAGGCUGUGUUUGUAAGGAUGAAAUAUCGCUGACAAAUCCAACAAGAGCUGCCCCACACCAGCACUUGAAAAACUGACUAUUCUGCAUUUUAAAGCAGCUUUUAAGCCUCUGGGUUGGUAAAGUGAAGAAACUUUUCCACUGCCCUGUCCACCUUUGCCCGAUUCUUUGCUCCUUCCGUUUGUGGCCAGCCCCUCCCGCGGGGAUGUGCCAAGCCUCCCUUUCCGUGGCUGAGGUCGAGGGGUUACAGAUUUACAGCUGCCCAGACUUGCUCCAGCCCAGGCAGGAAUUCGCUUGGCAUAAACGAGGCCUUUGGAUUAUUUAUCUCAGCCUUUCAGUGAAACAGGAACAUGCCCUGAUUUUAACAAUCGUGCUUCCUGCGCUGGGGGAAGGUGUGGCCGAUGGCAUUUAAACCAAAACCCGAGCCAAGGCUGACCCGGCAGGAAGCUGGAAGUGCGGGCAGGAGCACGAGGGUUUCCUUCAGCACCCAAAACACGAAGGGCCUCCCUCAGGUCAUUUUAUCACCCCCAGCAGCAAUAAUGAUGUGCACGAGGGUGAGAUUUGGGGAGUGUCAGACUCCAUUUGUUGUUGCUAUUAAGGUCAUCGCAGCGUGACAGCAGAAAAUCACACAGGAGACACCAGAGGAGUGAGGAUGAACCUUCAGGUACAGCCUGGCACAGAAGCAGGGCAAGGCCAAACUUCCUCUGGAAGCUGAGGAAUCGCUCCCUGAUCCUUUCAUGGUGCUGAGGGAACUGUCAAUGACAGCCUGGAGGGUCAAUCCCCUCCCUCCAUCCUCAAAAAAUGGUAUUUUCCCCAAAUAUCUAGCCCAAACCAUCCCAGCUGCAAGUCCUGAAAUCCUGUUAGAAUGUUCAGCACUAUAAAAACUCUUUAUUUAUUAAUCAGUACUGUAAGCACUCAGGGCCCAGCUGUGAUCAGCCAUGGGGUCAUUCCCAGUUUUGGAAGAUUCCUACCCUGCCAUUCUGAUGGUGACACUGAUCUCCCCUGUCUCACACCACAGCCAUGGAUUAUUCCCAUUUUCCAAGCCUCCUUUCUGGCCCAGGACUUUGCACCCUCAUAGGCAGUUCUUACAAAACCAAAGCUCUCCCUCCUACUUUUAAAGUCUGGAAGGAAAAGAAAAAAAGCUAAAAAAAACCCAACCCAAACCAGUUUCCACACAUGGAAAUGGGCUCCAGUCAAACCAGAAAAGCAGCCUAGAUUUUUACAGUAGAAUGUCGAAGAUGUUCGAACCAGAAAAUGCCAAAUCUUGCCCAAGAGUGUCAGAAAAUGACUUUACGUUUUUAGGCCUCAUCACUCAGUUCUGAGGGCUGAAGUUUUCCACUGCCCCAAGAUUUCUCCCAGUUGAUUGUUCCCCAGUGCAGCACAGCUCUGAGUUCUUCCUGGGAGCCUGAGUGCCACCAGCAAGUACCUAGAGCCAGGCAAAGACAGAAACACCCCAGGGCUGCUCAUUUUCAAAGGAAAGCAAACCAUAAAAUAAACGCUGCAUUUCCCCUGAAAGCAACCAGAGAGAGUCAUUUGGAAUAAAUCAAAGUUGGUUUCACCUUCCUGACGCACCACAGGCCUGACAAAAGCGGCGUGAGCCAAAAGUGAACUGCCCCAUUUCUGAGGCUCCCAGCUUUCAUCUGGCUCUGGUGUUUCAUCUCACUCUGUCAUGUCUGGAGCUCCCUGGAUCCCGAGGUGGGCUCUGCCUGCCUGCACAGCCUGGUGCAAUCCACCAGGGAGAAGUGGGAACACAGAAAAUCCGCCCUGGCCCUGCGUGCUGGGGCUCCUGAGAGAAUGGGGGUGACUGGAGCAGCACAGGCAGCUCCAGUCUCAGCAAAUCCCGGCCUGCUCGGGGGGAUGACUCAUGUCAGGAGCCUGUGCUCGCUCCCAGUCAUUAAGGAAGGAGUUAAUCCCUGCAGCUUUGGCCACAAAGUGGAUGUGUAAGGCCUGGAGUCCCAUGGGCUCGAUUGCAUAAGAAACCAUGUAUUGUGGCAUUUAGUUGAUCAUGCACUACUUCUUCUGGUCACAUGGAGGCUUGAUUUCCCCUUGCAUCAGCUACUACAGACUUUUUACAUUUCUCAUACUGGUGUCUGUUCAGUUCACCGGGGUCAUCCCCUUUGCCCCACGGCAGAGCCUGUGCUGCUCACCCAGCCCAGACCCAGGGGAUCUCACCCCAUUUUUUGUAGGAUCCUAUCACAGGAACCGGGCACUUGUAAUUUUUCUCAUUUGUGCCUGUGCGUAACAGGUGUCAUUUUCAGUGUAGUACAGACAAAUCCCAAAAUAGCUCAGGCUCUUCAGACACUGCGAGGAGAAAAAACCGUGGUUACUUCAGCUUUGGUUGUAGUGAAAAACCCAACGCUCGCAGCCGGCUCUGAAGUCAGAAUUAAAAUGGCAGACGGAGGAGUGGAGCAGGGAUCUCUCUGCAUUCCGUGUUUCCUGACGGACUGCUCCUCGCUGCUCUGUGUGUGCACAUCAACUCCCUCUCAGUGCUGCCUCUCCAUCAGCUUCCCUGAUUCCCAGGAGCUGCACCUACCACGGCUCCUCCUCCACACUUCCCGGUGCUGGCAGAGCUCUGUUCCCCUGCCGGGUGCUGGGGCUGGCCGGAGGCACCAGAGUUAUUCCAGGGAUCUGGGGGGCAGAGGCGAGGAGAGAGCGUGCAGCUGCAAAAGGCUCCUUGCCUGGGGAUGGUGCCUGCUGUGCUGAAAUGCAGAGCUGCCUGUGGACUGUCUUUGUCGGGGAUUAUUGGAUUCUGGUGACUCCAGGAGCGCAGUUAUUAGUUCCCCUGCCUACGCCGAGCAUUGUGAAUCUGUGUGUGUGAUAACACUUAUUAAUGCUGCUCAGAUGAAGAAGAUCCUAUGGCUUUCCAGCACUUUCAGCACCUUAUCUCACACCACGCAUCUGCCCAGCAGCCAAACCACGCUCAGAUCAGUGUCCUGUGGCCAGCAGAGCAGGGGCUUGUGGGGCCAGCAGUAGCCUCAUGCCCAGAAGUCCUGCCUCUGAUCACAGCAGCACCUCCUCUUAAGCUGCCUUGUGCUUCAGGGGAUCUGCCUGCUGAGGAUUUGCAGGACGUGGGCCUAAAAUAUUUUAUUUCAGGAAGUCAAGCAGUGGUUCCUGUCACAGAAACAGUUAAUCAGAAAGCACCAAUUCUCUACUGCAACGUGUGUGUGCGUGCACGUGUUUUUGUUUUUUAGAGCCAGCAAGAUUUGCUUUGGUUUUUUUAAAGCAGAAAACACCAAAAAAGUUGGCUGUGGUUUCAGCUGCUAUCGCUCGAGAUUUGUACUGCUGACUACCAAUCCUAAAAGAGUUAACCUGUAUGUAAGUAUGACUCAGAAGCAGAGAAGGAGAUGCGAGGCUGAGAGCCGGGGAGGAAGUGCAGAAACAGAGGUGAGGAACAGAAUAAUUGCCAAAAAAAGGUGCAGAGUCCAGGAGCGACGCUCCCUCCGGUCUGCCUGGCCCUGGCACCGCUGGCACGGGCUCCCUGGAAAGCUGCAGUUCCGCUCUUAUAACACAAGGAGCAGGCUGGAGAAUUUAGAGCUGCGUCACAGAGCUCAGCGAGAGAGUGAGAGAGCAAGCUCCGUCGAUAGGUCUACCAGCAACAGCCCUGCUGCAGCAAGAGGGGAGAGAGGCAGCAAGAGAGGCAGAGAGGGCUCCAGGAAGAGAAGUGGCACCAACACCACGGACUGGGCUCCUGCCACCAUCCACUGCCAUUUGCACCUCGUACUCGGGCUCGCUUGGCGUAGGAGGCUUCGCCCAUUGACGAUGCUGGAGACCCGGCGCGCUUAAUCCCACGGGGAGGGAGAGUGGGCAGACACCGAAAGGGUUAACGGGAAGGAAAAUUCUGGAACCUUCUCUUCUGCGGCGCUCCAGAGCGAGCGGAGGGCUGAGGACUGCGCAGAUGGUGCACGGGCACGGCUCCUCGGUCCGGUUCGUCUCCCUCACCGCCCAGCAAUGAAGAUGGCAACUCUGCCUGGAAGUGCUGAGGACACAGCCAGCCUUGAGCUUGGUCCUUCUGGCCGAGGAAGUCUCCCGAUUAUGCAGUGGAGUGGUCAGCACUUGUACUGUCACACCCCUUGUCCUGCACCUGGCCUUGGGCUGAUUCAUUCCUUCACUGGGAGGAUGAUGCAUCAAGCUCAGAUUCUCAGCAUGUAAAACAGGGAUUAUUUUCUCCAGGGGAGACCAGAGCCUGAUGAACCACGAGUUUCACCCCAUGAUGUGAAAAUGGAAGAGAAAAUUCAUGAUGCACACUGAGAUCUGUUUUGCUUUCUGUAAAAGCCCCAGAACUGCCUUUCUAUAGAAGGUGCAGGUUGUGAAAAAUCAGGUCUGUGGCAUCCAGGCUUGCCUUGUUCCUGCAGACUGAAGGUCUCAGGGAAGAGAGGAAGCUCCCUUUCACAGGGAAGGCAGGGAUUCCCUUUUUGUCUUUGUCUCCUAUGGAAUGUAUAAAGCAGUGUGAAGUCUGUGAAAGGCUUUGAGUUGUUCCUCUGAAAAAAGCUACAGCACUGCCACUAAAACACCUGAAAAGGAGGAAAACCACAGAAGGAUAUUGUACUUUCCCUACUAUUAUUUACUGGAAAGUGCAGACCACUGUGACAGAGCCAAGCACAGGUGACAGGAUUUGCUGCUCUCCACACUGCAGAUGUUUGAGACCAGCACUGCUUCAUUUACUCCCCUGUGAGGGUGGGGAAGGGCUGGGAUGAAAUUCCCAGAGCAGCUGUGGCUGCCCCACCCCUGGGAGUGUCCAAGGCCAGGUUGGAGCAGUCUGGGACAGUGGGAGGUGUCCCUGCCCAUGGCAGGUGUGGCACUGGGUGAGCUCUAAGGUCCCUUCCAACCCAAACCAUGCUGUGCUCCCGUUUUCCUGCCCAUGUGCACGUUCCCAGCAGGGAGCUGAGGAUCACAGCAUCCUGAACUGCUCCUUUCUCCUGCCCAGACACACUGGGAGCUUGGAAAGGAGAGCACAGACAGAUGUACCCUUCCCAAAUGUGCACCUGCACCUUGCCAAGAAGGGCUGACACCUUCUGGGGAGCUUGUGAAGGCAACAGGACAAACUCCAGGUAGCCUGGAGGAGGGGCAGCAGCACCCUAAUUAUGCUGAAGUGAAACCUGGUUUUAUCAAAACUAUAAAUAAUAAAUGAGCCAUUGGUCUUCA